rnacentral:rRNA from 1 species
AUAUCAAUAAGCGGAGGAAAAGAAACCAACAGGGAUUGCCCUAGUAACGGCGAGUGAAGCGGCAACAGCUCAAAUUUGAAAUCUGGCCCUAGCGGUCCGAGUUGUAAUUUGUAGAGGAUGCUUUUGGUGAGGUGCCUUCCGAGUUCCCUGGAACGGGACGCCGGAGAGGGUGAGAGCCCCGUACGGUUGGACGCCAAACCUCUGUAUAGCUCCUUCGACGAGUCGAGUAGUUUGGGAAUGCUGCUCUAAAUGGGAGGUAAAUUUCUUCUAAAGCUAAAUACCGGCCAGAGACCGAUAGCGCACAAGUAGAGUGAUCGAAAGAUGAAAAGCACUUUGAAAAGAGGGUUAAAUAGCACGUGAAAUUGUUGAAAGGGAAGCGUUUGCGACCAGACUUUUUCCAGGCGGAUCAUCCGGCGUUCUCGCCGGUGCACUCCGCCUGGUUGAGGCCAGCAUCGGUUUCCUUAGGGGGAUAAAGGCCUGGGGAACGUAGCUCCUUCGGGAGUGUUAUAGCCCCUGGCGUAAUACCCCUCGGGGGACCGAGGAACGCGCUCUGCAAGGAUGCUGGCGUAAUGGUCGUCAACGACCCGUCUUGAAACACGGACCAAGGAGUCGAACAUUUGUGCGAGUGUUUGGGUGUCAAACCCUCACGCGUAAUGAAAGUGAACGGAGGUGAGAGCCCUUACGGGUGCAUCAUCGACCGAUCCUGAUGUCUUCGGAUGGAUUUGAGUAAGAGCAUAACUGUUCGGACCCGAAAGAUGGUGAACUAUGCGUGGAUAGGGUGAAGCCAGAGGAAACUCUGGUGGAGGCUCGCAGCGGUUCUGACGUGCAAAUCGAUCGUCAAAUCUGCGCAUGGGGGCGAAAGACUUAUCGAACCAUCUAGUAGCUGGUUACCGCCGAAGUUUCCCUCAGGAUAGCAGUGUUGUCUUCAGUUUUAUGAGGUAAAGCGAAUGAUUAGGGA